AGAGUUUGAUCCUGGCUCAGGACGAACGCUGGCGGCGUGCUUAACACAUGCAAGUCGAGCGAGAGAGUCUCUUCGGAGGCAAUCUAGCGGCGGACGGGUGAGUAACACGUGGGCAACCUGCCUUAUAGAGGGGAAUAGCCUUCCGAAAGGAAGAUUAAUACCGCAUAGUAUCCAACUACCGCAUGGUGGAUGGAUGAAAG
rnacentral:rRNA from 1 species